rnacentral:rRNA from 1 species
UACGGAGGGGGCUAGCGUUGUUCGGAAUUACUGGGCGUAAAGCGCGCGUAGGCGGACCUGCAAGUCGGGGGUGAAAGCCCGAGGCUAACCUCGGAACUGCCUUCGAUACUGCGGGUCUCGAGUCCGGGAGAGGUGAGUGGAAUUCCUAGUGUAGAGGUGAAAUUCGUAGAUAUUAGGAAGAACACCAGUGGCGAAGGCGGCUCACUGGCCCGGUACUGACGCUGAGGCGCGAAAGCGUGGGGAGCAAACAGG